GGGGAAUUUUGGACAAUGGGCGAAAGCCUGAUCCAGCAAUGCCGCGUGCAGGAUGAAGGCCUUCGGGUUGUAAACUGCUUUUGUACGGAACGAAAAGGCUCUGGCUAAUACCUGGAGCACAUGACGGUACCGUAAGAAUAAGCACCGGCUAACUACGUGCCAGCAGCCGCGGUAAUACGUAGGGUGCGAGCGUUAAUCGGAAUUACUGGGCGUAAGGCGUGCGCAGGCGGUUUUGUAAGACAGAGGUGAAAUCCCCGGGCUCAACCUGGGAACUGCCUUUGUGACUGCAAAGCUGGAGUGCGGCAGAGGGGGAUGGAAUUCCGCGUGUAGCAGUGAAAUGCGUAGAUAUGCGGAGGAACACCGAUGGCGAAGGCAAUCCCCUGGGCCUGCACUGACGCUCAUGCACGAAAGCGUGGGGAGCAAAC
rnacentral:rRNA from 1 species